CCUACGGGAGGCAGCAGUGGGGAAUUUUGGACAAUGGGCGCAAGCCUGAUCCAGCAAUGCCGCGUGAGUGAAGAAGGCCUUCGGGUUGUAAAGCUCUUUUGUCAGGGAAGAAACGGUGGGGGCUAAUAUCUCCUGCUAAUGACGGUACCUGAAGAAUAAGCACCGGCUAACUACGUGCCAGCAGCCGCGGUAAUACGUAGGGUGCAAGCGUUAAUCGGAAUUACUGGGCGUAAAGCGUGCGCAGGCGGUUUUGUAAGACUGUCGUGAAAUCCCCGGGCUCAACCUGGGAAUGGCGAUGGUGACUGCAAGGCUAGAGUUUGGCAGAGGGGGGUAGAAUUCCACGUGUAGCAGUGAAAUGCGUAGAUAUGUGGAGGAACACCGAUGGCGAAGGCAGCCCCCUGGGUCAAAACUGACGCUCAUGCACGAAAGCGUGGGGAGCAAACAGGAUUAGAUACCCUGGUAGUCCACGCCCUAAACGAUGUCUACUAGUUGUCGGGUCUUAAUUGACUUGGUAACGCAGCUAACGCGUGAAGUAGACCGCCUGGGGAGUACGGUCGCAAAGAUUAAAACUCAAAGGAAUUGACGGNUUGNGAGNGCGAGACGACACGAGGAGAGG
rnacentral:rRNA from 1 species